rnacentral:miRNA from 1 species
UCACAACCUCCUUGAGUGAGUUGA